rnacentral:rRNA from 1 species
UGGGGAAUAUUGCACAAUGGGCGCAAGCCUGAUGCAGCAACGCCGCGUGAACGAUGAAGGUCUUCGGAUCGUAAAGUUCUGUUGCAGGGGAAGAUAAUGACGGUACCCUGUGAGGAAGCCCCGGCUAACUACGUGCCAGCAGCCGCGGUAAUACGUAGGGGGCUAGCGUUAUCCGGAUUUACUGGGCGUAAAGGGUGCGUAGGUGGUCUUUCAAGUCGGUGGUUAAAGGCUACGGCUCAACCGUAGUUAGCCUCCGAAACUGGAAGACUUGAGUGCAGUAGAGGAAAGUGGAAUUCCCAGUGUAACGGUGAAAUGCGUAGAUAUUGGGAGGAACACCAGUAGCGAAGGCGGCUUUCUGGACUGCAACUGACACUGAGGCACGAAAGCGUGGGUAGCAAACAGG